rnacentral:rRNA from 1 species
AACGAACGCCGGCGGCAUGCCUAACACAUGCAAGUCGAACGAGACCUUCGGGUCUAGUGGCGCACGGGUGCGUAACGCGUGGGAACCUGCCCUUAGGUUCGGAAUAACUCCCCGAAAGGGGUGCUAAUACCGGAUAAUGUCUUCGGACCAAAGAUUUAUCGCCUUUGGAUGGGCCCGCGUUGGAUUAGCUAGUUGGUAGGGUAAAAGCCUACCAAGGCGACGAUCCAUAGCUGGUCUGAGAGGAAGAUCAGCCACACUGGGACUGAGACACGGCCCAGACUCCUACGGGAGGCAGCAGUGGGGAAUAUUGGACAAUGGGCGAAAGCCUGAUCCAGCAAUGCCGCGUGAGUGAUGAAGGCCUUAGGGUUGUAAAGCUCUUUUACCCGGGAUGAUAAUGACAGUACCGGGAGAAUAAGCUCCGGCUAACUCCGUG